UUUUGGUUGGCUGAUAGCUUGCAAGAUCUUCAUAUUCUACAUAGAAGGUGCAGUGUGAUGUGAUGCAUAUGGAACUGGUAUUACUUUGCAGUAUGGAACUGGCGGUGGGUGUAUGAAAUGUGAUGGCUGUAACAUUAUACCUAAUUUCUUAUCAGUUCAUGAUAUGGUUGUUUGAAAUGUGAUACCUGGACGUGAGUGUCUCUGGCGCGGGAUCCUGGACGCCUCCGGCGGUGGCUGGUGAAAGGGAUAGCCGGAUCCUGGACGUCUUCGGCGACGGGUCCUGAAAGGUAUCGGCGACGGGUCCUGAAAGGUAUCGGCGACGGAUCCUGGAAGCGUUCGGCGGAGGGUCCUCAACUGGACAUGCACCGGAUCAGUGGAGACCAGCGGCGGAUCAGUGCCAGGGCGGCGGCGAAGGGAUGGAGCGGCGGCGGUGAAGGGAUGAAGAGCGGCGGCAGGCGAAUGAGGGCACAGACUCGGGCGUCUGUUUCUCGCUCGAGGGCACGAGACCUCGCUCAUGGGUGCGAAGGGAGGUUAGGCGCGUGGGGGCGGAUGUGGGACUCGGCCCUGAGGGUUUUUCUUGGUUCAUCGCGGCUGAGCGGGAGGUGGGAGCAGGUACCAAAAAAGACCGGGUGAGGUGGGACGAAAAUUAAACCCGGAACGCGACCUACCAACUGAGAUAUUAGGAGUAGAGAUUCCACGAUUUCCGGCGAUGGGCGUUCAGUGGAAUGGGACGCUCCUGUCGGCUGCGAAGCGCCUACGGUGAUUUUGUAAAAUCUCAAGAUGAUAUGUCGCCUCAGUCUCUCGGACGUGCUCAUAAGCGUAGAGUGUGCGUGCGUGCGUUCAUAGGGUGAGUUAUGCGAUAUAUUUAUAUGAAUGUUUGCGUCUCGAUAGCACGGUGAGAUAUUGUACUCGCCUGAAGCGACGUCAUACUGGGCCGGCCCAGUAGCGCAGAUCA